rnacentral:rRNA from 1 species
GACGAACGCUGGCGGCGUGCUUAACACAUGCAAGUCGAGCGAGGCCCCUCCUUCGGGAGGGUGCCCUACGCGGCGAACGGGUGAGUAACACGUGGGCAACCUGCCCUCAGCUUCGGGAUAACCUCGGGAAACCGGGGCUAAUACCGAAUAUGACCGAACCGGACAUCCGGCUCGGUGGAAAGAUUUAUCGGCUGAGGAUGGGCCCGCGGCCUAUCAGCUUGUUGGUGGGGGUCACGGCCCACCAAGGCGACGACGGGUAGCCGGCCUGAGAGGGCGACCGGCCACACUGGGACUGAGACACGGCCCAGACUCCUACGGGAGGCAGCAGUGGGGAAUAUUGCGCAAUGGGCGAAAGCCUGACGCAGCGACGCCGCGUGAGGGAUGACGGCCUU